UCUACGGAGAGCCUGUUCACUAGUUAAUAAGCCCUAUUUCACUGAAUUUGGUUGAAAUUCCAACAGAGUUCCACUGGGGGUGAUCGCAGUCCAGUGCAAAAUGAAUGGGACUCUACAGUUGGGAGAA